AAGAAAAUCUGGGCGUAGCUUUUAAAAGAAAACGACAUCCCUCACCUUCAUCAGCGGCAUCCACACAAAAUUCUCAAGCUUCACUUCACCUUCCACUCUAAGCCAGACUCAAAAUCCUUUGCUUCAACCAAGAAUUCGCAGAGGCAUAUCAAAAAGCACCAUUACAUCGACCGAUGCCCAAAAGAGAAAAUAAUGAAAAUUUGUAAGGAAAAGUUGUAAAAAUUAUAUGGACCAGCAAUUGGUAACAUCAAGAAGCACCUAAUCAGUCACAAGUUUCAUACUCAAAAGAAGCUAAAACAGAAGUACACAUGAGCUCUCUCAUCUUUUUCCACGGUUUUCCUUCAUUUUCUCCAUGUAAAAGCUCCAUAAAUCCCAGUCCAAAUUCCACCCUGGAACACCCCAUUAAUGCUUCAAAAACCAGUAGCAAAACAUCUCAAAAAUCAGUCCUGAAAUAGCUCCAAAAGGCUGCCAGCUUGACCGCGAAAAGCUUCUCUUCUUAUGUCAAAAUAGAGGUCGCCGGUGAGCCUGAUUUCCUCGCCUAAAGUAGUCGUUCUAGUCACUUGAGGUGCUAAGCCUUCCGGGUAGUUUGAGGUCCGCUCAUGUUCCCGUUGACUACUUGUUCGUUGUUCUUUUAGUCGAGUUUAUGAGGUUGUCGACGAGUCCUUUGUUCCCGAUAAGUUCUUGUUGAACUUCCGCAUUUGUCUUAAAGAAGUUUUCAUACAUAAAGGUCCGUUCCUUUCUCUGCUACUAUAUAAUUUUGGUGAUAUUUGAAGUCAUUUUUGUCAUGUUCUAUGUUUGUUUUCUUUCUUUUGUUUAACAAUUACGUAAACUUAGCUUCAGUCCUUUAGUUAAUGUUUUGUGCUUUAGUCGUCCUCUCUAACUAGCUGUUUGCUUUGGAUUAAUUGGUUUUAAUCUUGAAUAGUGAAGUAAAAUCUUGGUAAACCAGCACAUAAGAGAAAGGGAAAUGGCAUACAUCAAAUGCUGCAUAUUUGUCUAAAGAGCAUAAAGAAAUAUGACAAACUUACAUUGUUGUCCUCGCUCCCUGUUACUAUAAGUGCUCUUCCGGAACUUGAUACACAUGAAUUAUUUUGUUAGACCCACAUCCAUAAUAAAGUUUUAUCUAACCUAUAGCUUCUCCAUAACCAAUUUGGCCCAAUCAUUCUCAAAUGUUAGGAAAAUAAAUAAUCAUGAACAUUCAUAGUUUGCUUUAGUUGAGUAUGAUCUUUUGGAAUAUUUUGAGGCGUGCCGUGUCAAACAAAAUCUCAAAAUGCAUGUCCCUUGCUUAAUUAAUAUUUUAAUCCUUAGAAAUCGUGGCGUGUCAUUUAGUUGAAUUUCUAUGGUCCUCGCAAACUUGCUAGUGCGUAGUUGCUUUAGGCGCGUAUUUAAUAAUUACUUUCCUAAAUUUGGGUGCGCAUUUAUGUGACCCAAAUCCAAAUCUCAACAAUGUUAGAUAAAAUAUGUUGCAGACUAUGGGUGCAUUUAUGUGACGUGGUUCAAGACGUAUUUUUGAUAACGUUGAAUUUUUCUUAAAAAUUAAUUGAACAAAAGCGGUUAUAAAAGUUAAAAUUGCACCAUAGGCUAAAACAUGUAUUAAAAUAAAGUAAAUAGGCCAAUUAUAAUAGUUGAGCGACCGUGCUAGAACCACGGAACUCGGGAAUGCCUAACACCUUCUCUCGGGUUAACAGAAUUCUUUACUCGGAUUUUUGGUUCGCGGACUAUAUUAUAGAGUCAACCUUUCCUCGAUUCGGGAUUUUAAACCGGUGACUUGGGAUACCAUAAAUCUCUCAAGUGGCGACUCUAAAUUUUAAAUAAAAUAAUCCCGUUUCGAUUGUCACUUAAAUUGGAAAAAACUCCCUUAUAUAUUAUACCCCUCCGACUGGGGGUGUAGGUAAAAAGGAGGUGUGACACCAUUUAGGGGUAAUGUUUUUUGUAACACGAUAACCCCAGGUCUUUUCUGUGAUUUAUAAUGACAAUUAGUUUAAAACUGGGUUCAUACUUAGUUUCAACUUAAUAUCAUAAAGUUUUUUCUUCAACUUAAUGCUUUUGACUUUGUGUUUCUGUUAUAUUUUCUUAAUGGUUUGCCCUUGCCUUGUUUCUUUAUAAGUUCAGGGUCUUGUUUCUAUUUAAUUUCAAUAUGCGGGUUUUGUUUUACCCUUUUAACUUUUUUGCAUUUAAGAAAUGCUUAGUUAAUUUUAUGGAUUUUUGAAUAAAACAUGAAUUAUANNNNNNNNNNNNNNNNNNNNNNNNUUUGAUAAAGUUUUCAUUCGAACUUUUUCUAGCUUAAAUAACAUCUUACAUGUAUUUAAAUAUCUUCUAUGAUUCUUCCGUAACUGUUUUCUGUACAACAGAUUUGUAAAAAAAAAUCCAAGGGUUUUUUUAUGACCCCUGGCUAAAUACUGCCUUUAACCUAAACAUUCGUAGGAGUUUGAAUUUGUAUCUAUGAGUAUAUUCAUCAUAGGUUUUCGGAUCAGGCUUGCGUUUUUUGGCUUGUGACUCUACUCUAAACUUGAUAUUUGUUGAGUAGACUUUAAGCUUGACUUGAAAUUUAAUUUUUUCUGCCUUCUUUGCCUUCCUUAUACAUAUAUCAUAUGUAUACUAUAUAGUCCCCCAAGUGUUUGAGCUUUGAAGUAUGAAAUCUCGAGCACUUGACUAUUCCUUCCAUGUCGUCCUUUUCCUGAAAAAGAAAAACAUACGGGACUUGGAGAUACAAUUUUACAUGAAGACUGCUUAACCCAUUACAUUUCCAUUAGAAUAGUUGUAACCCUAGACUAGGAAUUAUGUUCCUUCCACGUGUCUUUCAGGUCGAAAUUCAUCAUUUAGUGUGGGCUAGCUUUUUGCCUAUCAUCUAAAAUCAUUAGUAAAAUUUUAACAAUUCAAAAAUAAAAAUCGUGAGUGGGGAUACCUGACCAUUGGAAUUUCCUUCCCUUAUAAAUAGUACAUCUUUAGAUGAACAUCAUUCCAAUUUGAAUGUAGAAUCUUGCCAUCCAAUGUUUCAAGCUCGUAUGCAUCUUUUCCUGUGAUACCAUGAAUAUUGUAAGGCCCUUCCCAAUUGGGAAUUAACUUUCCUGCAUUAGCUGCCCUCGUGGAUUGGACAACUUUCUUGAGCACGUAGUCCCUAAUCUUGAAGUAUCUGAGAUGAGCUUUCCGAUUAUAAUACCGCUCAAUAACUUAUUUUUGUGUUGCCAUCCUUAUUAAUGCAGUUUCCCUCCUUUCUUCAAGUAAAUCCAGGUUUACCUGCAUCUCUUCUUCAUUCGACUCUUCAGUAGCUUGAGUGUAUCUCGUACUUGGCUCCCCUAUUUCGACUAGAAUUAAGGCUUCAGCUUCGUAGACCAGUGAAAAUGGUAUUUCUCCUGUACUUGUUUUUGUUGUUGUUCGGUAAGCCCACAAUACUCCAGGUAGUACCUCCGGCCAAUUGGCCCUUUGAUUCUUCUACUCUUUUCUUCAAGUUAUUGAUAAUAACUUUAUAUUGUGAUUCAGCUUGUCCAUUGCCCACCGGAUGAUAAAAUGUCGAGGUAAUCUUUUUAAUUUGCCAACUUUGGGAGAAUUCUGUAAUUUGUGCACCUAUGAAUUGUGGGCCGUUGUCACACACGAUCUCAUUUGCCUCCCCAAAUCGGCAUAUGACAUUUCGCCAGAUGAAGUCUUUGGCCUAUUUUUCUCGGACCUGUUUGAAGGCUCCUACUUCAACCUACUCAAUAAAAUAAUUAGUGAGUACUAACAGAAAUCUUACCUUACCUUUGGCUCGUGGUAGUGGACCUACGAUAUCCAUCCCCCACUUCAUAAAAGGCCGUGGUGCCAUAACUAGAUGUAAUAAUUCAGCUGGUCGAUGCAUGUUGUGGCCAUAUCUUUGGAAUUUUUCACAUUUAGCCACAAAAAUGUUCUCCUCUUCUUCCAUUUUUGGCCAGUAAUAGUCAGCUCUAAUUAUGAUUUUUCCAAUGAUCUUCCUCCAGCGUGAUUUCCACAAUGUCCCUCAUGUAUUUCUUUCAUCACAUAUUCCAUUUGUGAAGGCUCAAGACAUCUUGCUAGAGGGCCACUGAACAUUUUUUGAUAUAAAUUGCCAAGAUUUAAAUAGUAACGAGCAGCUUAUUGGCGAAGUGCUUGAGCCUUUUUCUUAUCUUCAGGUAGUAUCCCAUACUGCAAAAAAUUGACAAUCUCAUUUCUCCAAUCCCAAGUUAGAUUAUUGUAAUUUACCUCAUUUUUGUCUUGAUCAAGCACUGAAUGAAAUAAAUGUAUCACGGAAGCGUUUUCUUCAUUUGUUACUUCUGCAGCGGAUGCAAGAUUAGCUAGUGCAUCUGGCUCGACAUUAUCUUCCCUUAGUAUCUGCGUGAUUUUCCAAGUUUGGAAUUGUCUAACUAAAUCUCGUGCCUUUCCUAGGUAUUGUUGCAUCCUUGCCUCUCUAGCUGUAUAAGUCCCCUACAUUUGGUUAAAUACGAGUUGUGAAUCACUUUUGCUUAUGACCUGCAAUAUUCCAAGCUCUCGUGCUAAUUCUAAACCUGCAAUCACAACUUCAUAUUCUGCCUCAUUAUUAGUGAUUGGAUGACAUUUAAUGGCUUGUCGUAUGAUUUCACCCGCGGGUGGUACUAGGACAAUGCGUAAACCAGCUCCUUUUACAUUUGAUGAACCGUGAGUAAAUAAGCUCCAAGUACCUUGAUUAGUCCCGUUAAAUACCUGUAGUUCUUUUUCUGCUUCCAAUUGUAUCCCUUGGCUAAAAUCUGCCACGAAAUCUGCUAAAACUUGUGACUUUAUUGCAGUUCUAGGUUAAUAUGUAAUGUCAUAUUUGCUUAGUUCUAUAGCCCACUUGGCUAAUAUACCCGAUAACUCUUGUUUAUGCAAUAUAUUACAUAAGGGGUAGGCGGUCACCUUAGAGAUAGGAUGACAUUGGAAAUAAGGCCUUAAUUUCCUAGAAGCCAUAAUUAAUGCUAGUGUAUGUUUUUAUAAAUGUGAAUAAUGAGUCUUAGCAUCUAAUAAAUAUUUACUAACAUAAUUAAUCGGCGAUUGUUUACCUUGGUCCUCUCGUACUAAUACGACACUUACCGCAACCUCUGAAACAACAAGGUAGACAAUAAUUUUUCUCCAUCUUUUGGUUUAGAUAGCAAUGGUGGAUUAGACGGGUAUGCUUUUAAAUGUUUAAGUGCUUGUUGACAUUCUUCAGACCAUUCAAAUUGAUUUAGCUUUUUAAGGCUGAAAAGAAUUUGAAGACUUUUUCGAUGACUUGGAAAUAAACCUUCCCAAGGCUGUUGUUCUUCCUGUCAACCUUUGUACCUCUUUUUUGCUCGUGAGUAUUUUAAGAAUUUCCUCAAUAACUUUAAUAUGUCGGGAUUUACUUCAAUGCCAUGGUUAGAAACAAGAAAACCCAAGAACUUACCUGAUGACACGCUGAAUGCAUAUUUCUCAGGAUUUAACUUCAUGUUAAAUUUGCGAAGAAAUUUAAUUCUCAAAAAUGAAGCAAGGCUCCUUCAAGAAUUAGGUGAUUCAAGCAUUAGCCAACUAAUUUGGAUAAUUUACCUCGCAGAUAGACCCGAUUUUUAAAAGCUUCUACACCUCCCCUUGAAUCACCUGAUUCUUUAAGGAACCUUGCUUCCUUUUCUUUUGUUUUACAGGUGGGUAUGAUGGAUCUUCAUUUAAUUUGUGGGUCAUUACUUCCAGUGGUAUACCUAUCAUAUCUUAAUGGGACCAAGAAAAACAAUCUGCGUUAGCUUUUAAAAAUUCAAUCAACUUACAUUUCAUCUCUAGGCUGAGGUUGGUUCCAAUGUAGACUUUUCUAUCUGGACAAUGUAUACCACAACUUCUAGUUCUGGAUCGUUGUUUUGAUGUUUUCAUUUUCUUCUGGUUCUUGAAUAAUAUCGGGCCUCGAAUCUACAUCUGUUUUCCCGUCUUCAGUUGAGGCUCGCGUUGCUGCAUCCUCAACUGUAUUCUGUGAUUGCUAUUUUUCGUCACUUUUUGUGCUUGAAUCUGCCACUGAGUUAAUGAUUCGAGAAGCUUGUUGGUCACCACGGAUUUGUCGUAUUCCGCAUUGUGAUGAAAACUUGAUAACUUGAUGUAAAGUAGACAGAACAACGUCCAUUUCAUGAAUCCAUGGUCUGCCAAGAAUCAUAUUGUAAGCCAUAUCCAUUUCUACUACCUGAUAUUUGGUGUCUUUGACUACUCCUUCUGCGAAUGUGGUGAGUAUUAUAUCGCCUUUUGUUACGACGCUCGAGUUGUCAAAACCAGACAAGGUGUGUGCCUUGGGUAUCAACUUAUCAUCGGCUUGUAUCUCGUUUACCACUCUUAACAUAAUGAUACUCACGGAAUUGCCUGGGUCAAUCAAAACCCGUUUUACAUUAGUGUCAUGUACAAGUAAAGAUAUUACCAGUGCAUCGUUAUGUGGGAGUAGCACACCAUCUGCAUCUGCAUCAUCGAAUGUAUUACUAUCUUCUUCCAAAACCUAUCGAACUCACUUCCCGUGGGUAACUGUGACUUUUGACACUUUUUUUGUUGCAGUGUAUGUCAUGCUAUUGAUCUCUUCCCCUCCACUUAUGACAUUAACCGUCCUUUUUGGUGAAAGAGGUUUUGGCGGUUCCUUCCUAUUCUUCAUAUAUGCUUGCUUUCCCUUUUCAUUAAAUAAUUCAGUUAAAUACCCUUGUUUUAAUAAAUGUUGUACUUCACCUUGUAACAAUCUGCAAUUAGUCGUUUUGUGACCGUGAUCGUUAUCAAACUCGCACCAAAAAUCAGGAUUCCACCUGUUUGGGUUUGAUCUCAUUUCCCUUGGCCACCGUACCUUGUCUCCCAUGCUUCCCAAAGUAGCCACCAAAUCGAAUGUGCUAACAUUAAAACUGUAGCCGCCUAUCUUUGCUUUCGAGCUUCUGUCAUCAUCUCGUAUAUCUCGCAUGUUUCAUUAUUUUCUGAACCUUGAUGAUGAUCUUGACUCUCUAUCUUUUGAUCUAGGAUCAUACCUGGGAUUUUCCUAUUUUGAACGGGAAUCCCUUCCUGCUGGUCCCAUAUAAGGCUCGUACUUGUUUUUACCGGACCUUUUUUCAGUGUCAUCUCGUCUUGAACUCAACCUUUCAUCUUUCUGAGACUGAAUGAUAGUAUCUUCUUAUCCCCAGCUUCAUGUUGUAUCUAUUAUAUAAAUCAUUCCAAGUUGUCACUAAAAAUUAUCGUAAACUUUCUUUUAGUCUUCUCGUGGCUUCCGAGCUUGUUUCAUUUAGAUUACGGGCAAAACCCAUAGCCGCCUUAUGAUCGGCUAUAAUUGUGUAUUUUAGUCUCUUAUUACACUCUAAUUUACUACACUUUAAUUGAGUUUGAGCUUUAAUCGCUAGUGUUUGCACUAAAUAUGCGUUUUAUGCCUUGUAGGAGUGAUUCCGAGCUAUGUAGAUGUUAUGGAAUGAAUUCAAGUGAUUUAGAGCUUUGAAGUCUAAGUAAAAGCCCAACCAAUUAAGCCGAGAUCAUGUUCGGGGAUCAACGGAUGAUAGUUAAGAAUGAAACGGAGAAUCGAGCAGGCAUACGACACAUUGUCUAGUAAAAUGCACAUAAAUUUUCCCUCAGAACUCUAUUGGGGCUCCACAAUAUAUCCUUGGAAAGCUAUUUGAAAGGCUACAACUUUCAUGUUUUGCAUUUUCACAAAUUCUAACUACCACGUCGCAUGGAGCGGCACAGUAGUGUAAAAGCUGGCCUGACAAGAAAAUGCAAGGCUGCUGAUAAUCUCCACUAGCGCGCCGCAUGGAAUGGUGCAGGGUGCGGCACGCCUGUACAAAUUUUACAGAUCCAGAGUCCUAUUUCACACAAGAAAGAGUGUUCCGUCUAGGCCCGACCCUACUUGGUAUAUAUACAUGUAAAAACGUUAUUUUUGCGACUUUUGACAGAGAUUAGACCUAGGGAGACCUAAGAUUAGAUCAAGGGAGAGCACAAAGCCGCCGUGGAGGCAGGAAUUCAUCAGAUUCCAUAUUUCUUCCAUCAAACUUAGUAAUCUUUACUUUUUCUUGAUGAUUUGUUGUUUUUCUACCAUGUCUAUGUGGAGCUAAACUUCACUUUCUAGGGUUGUGGUUGACAUGAUUAUUAACGUUUAUAAUUACAUCUUCGUUAAUUCGGAUUUAUCAUCUUGUGGUUGUUUCUCUAAUUCUGUGCAUAAUUGAUUAAUUAUCUGGCCAGCAGUUGAGUUCUAUUUACCGUCUAUGCUAUGCUUGGGAAAACCAUGUUUAGAUUAGAGUAGAAUUAGAGAGAUCUUGUUUCUAAACCCGUGGCUCGGGGGAAGAUUUCGCAGUUAGGAUAGGAAUAUACUUAACAGUCUUGCUUAAUUAAAUAUUGUAUUAUAUUCGUUCAUGAUAGACUCAAUACCAUAAGAAUAUAGGGUUGAUAUCCUAUGGGCAGGCGAGUAGUAUUGUGGGAACAUGCUAUUCAUAUAAACGAUCCGGUUAAUUAGCAACUAUAGAUAAUCUGGAUUAACAAGUGUGAUUAUUGAACUUAAUAGGAUUGAUAAACCAACCACAACCCUGGAAUCUUUAUCUCCAUUGAAUUAAAGUCUCAUAAUACCCAUUUGCAUUCUUGUUGAUUUAGUUGAUAUUUGUUUAAUUUCCGCAAUAGUAGACUAAUAGAAGAACAUCACUCUUGAUUAUCUUGGACAAUUAAUUGAUUUUAUUUUUAUUAGUUAAUGAUCAAUCUAUGUCUCUGUGGGUUCGACAUCUGACUUUCUAGUCAUUUUAUUACUUGACGACCACGUAUACUUACAUGUGUGUUUGGUCCCAACACCGCCCAGUUAUCAGGUACACGUGGUAACAACAUCCUCUCACGCUGGAAUCUGUCUACAAAUUCCCU
rnacentral:lncRNA from 1 species